CCCUUAGAUGUUCUGGGCCGCACGCGCGCUACACUGAUGAAUUCAACGAGCACUAACCUGUGCCGAAAGGUUCGGGUAAUCUUGUGAAAUUUCAUCGUGAUGGGGAUUGAUUAUUGCAAUUUUUAAUCAUAAACGAGGAAUGCCUAGUAAGCGUGAGUCAUCAGCUCACGUUGAUUACGUCCCUGCCCUUUGUACACACCGCCCGUCGCUCCUACCGAUUGAAUGCUCAGGUGAGCCAUUCGGACUUUCAUCAUGCUGGUUUCCAGUUUUGAUGAAGGAAAGUCUUGCGAACCUUAUCAUUUAGAGGAAGGAGAAGUCGUAACA
rnacentral:rRNA from 1 species